rnacentral:misc_RNA from 1 species
CCGGAAGGUGCGGCUGGAACACCUCCUUUCUAGAGCAGGAUGUAAAACCUUGCUAAAGUAGCCAAACAUUUGACAACAAGAUUAAAGUAACCGAUAUAUUUUUAUCAAUAUAUUAUUGUUAUCAAUAUAAAUUGGUUUGUUUUCUUCUUGUACUGCGAGUAAUCUGUAUUAUAUAAAUAAGGGAGUAAGAGUAAUUUUGGUAAACCAAAUAAGGCUCACAGAAAGUUAUAUACUAGGUUCAAGACCUACUACUCCACAUUAGACUAUAAAAUCUCUAUUUUUUAUAGAGUAGUCUUUACGAUCUUUGACAUAUUGCAACAAUGAAUAAACUGUAAGUAUGAACUGUUUUUUAUAAUAUUAUUAUAAUAAAUAGUUUCUAAGAAAAGAAUUCCAUUUCUUUUAAUAGAAAUCACACAACAGCUGAAAGUAUGAGCUACAUACUCUUUUUGCGGUAUUAGUUUACUAGCAAUUAGAGUCGAGCGAAGAAAGUAAGAAAGGGCGCAUGGCGGAUGCCUUGGCUCAUGGAGGCGAUGAAGGACGUGAUAAGCUGCGAUAAGCUUCGGGUAGAUGCAAAUAAUCUUUGAUCCGAAG